CCCUACUUCUGUCUCCCUUAUGGUGAGUGUUUUAUAAGUAAAAGUGGAGAGGCAAAUGCAGCAGCCCGUGGGGUAGGCAAGGGACCCUUCCAAGAUGUUUUUCCUGCCUAAAGUGUUCAUGAAGUUGUCUCACUUUCAGCCCCGGAAUUGGGAGUGAAGAUGGAGAGCACAUCAGAUUCAACCUUUCAGACCACUCACUCCCUCAAAGACAAUGCUGGCAUGGCCAGGUGGUGGAGAACCAUCGAGACCAAAAAGAUACACAGGUAUACCCAAGGGCAUACUUAGGACUUCACAGUUUCCAGGAAGGGGAGUAUACUCUGCCAACCCAGCAACUACGACUGCCUGCCAGAAUUCAGUAAUUCAUGGAAACUGAUUUAAACAAAACCCAAGGAGUAAAAAGCUGCUUUGCAGUCUACUGGAGGAGGACCAAACCAUGGCAACUGGUUUGAACGCUGUCCGGGAGAAAAGGAUGAAAGCGUCCUAGACAACCGAACCAAGUCGCUUUCCAGAGGGGUGCCAGACAGAGACGGUAACCCCAUAGGGCACGAAAGAGAAAACCCACAACCAUCUACUUUGGCAGGGGCGCCUACAGAUCUGUCUUGUACGUGCCAUUCCUUGUAAGUUCAGACGCAGGCACGACCUCUGUCCGCACAAUGAAGAGCAGAGGUGCUUGGCAGCGGCCAGAUUCCGCAGAGAAAUACGAGUCCGGGGCAGAAACUUUCCGCCUGCUUUUUGCAGCCAGGAUGCGGGUGUACCACGGGUCUCCUCUCCCCCGAUCCCCAAAUCGCACUCCCAGAGAGCUGGGCUGAGAGACCCUAUGCAGAGAACACGCCCACCACGACGGGAGAUCGUCCCGAGCCAGACCCAGUAGAGCUGGCCGGAGGUCUCCAUAGAAAGCGGGCAGGGGCGUCCGGGACCUGGGAAAGCUUUAGUCCACACAAACCCGGACUCCAGACCGAGACUCACCAGCCU